rnacentral:rRNA from 1 species
UAACAAGGAUUCCCCUAGUAACUGCGAGUGAAGCGGGAAAAGCUCAAAUUUAAAAUCUGGCGGUUUUGCCGUCCGAGUUGUAAUCUGGAGAAGCGUUUUCCGCGUCGGACCGUGUACAAGUCUCUUGGAACAGAGCGUCAUAGAGGGUGAGAAUCCCGUCCAUGACACGGACUCCCGGUGCUUUGUGAUACGCUCUCGAAGAGUCGAGUUGUUUGGGAAUGCAGCUCAAAAUGGGUGGUAAAUUCCAUCUAAAGCUAAAUAUUGGCGAGAGACCGAUAGCGAACAAGUACCGUGAGGGAAAGAUGAAAAGCACUUUGGAAAGAGAGUUAAACAGUACGUGAAAUUGUUGAAAGGGAAACGCUUGAAGUCAGUCGCGUCUUACGGGACUCAGCCUUGCCUCGGCUUGGUGUACUUCCUGUAGGACGGGUCAACAUCGAUUUUGACCGGUGGACAAAGGGGAUGGGAAUGUGGCAAUCUUCGGGUUGUGUUAUAGCCCUCUUCCAUAUACAUCGGUUGGGAUCGAGGACCGCAGCGCGCCUUUAUGGCCGGGGGCUUGCCCCACGUACCGCGCUUAGGAUGUUGGCAUAAUGGCUUUAAGCGACCCGUCUUGAAACACGGACCAAGGAGUCUAACAUGCUUGCGAGUGUUAGGGUGGAAAACCCUUGCGCGUAAUGAAAGUGAAAGUUGAGAGCCUUCUUUUGGAGGUGCAUCGACGCCCGGCCCUGAAGUUCUCUGACGGUGCUGCGGUAGAGCACGUAUGUUGGGACCCGAAAGAUGGUGAACUAUGCCUGAAUAGGGCGAAGCCAGAGGAAACUCUGGUGGAGGCUCGUAGCGAUUCUGACGUGCAAAUCGAUCGUCAAAUUUGGG